rnacentral:rRNA from 1 species
GAUGAACGCUGGCGGCGUGCCUAAUACAUGCGAGUCGAGCGAACGGACGAGAAGCUUGCUUCUCUGAUGUUAGCGGCGGACGGGUGAGUAACACGUGGAUAACCUACCUAUAAGACUGGGAUAACUUCGGGAAACCGUAGCUAAUACCGGAUAAUAUUUUGAACCGCAUGGUUCAAAAGUGAAAGACGGUCUUGCUGUCACUUAUAGAUGGAUCCGCGCUGCAUUAGCUAGUUGGUAAGGUAACGGCUUACCAAGGCAACGAUGCAUAGCCGACCUGUGAGGGUGAUAGGCCACACUGGAACUGAGACACGGUCCAGACGACUACGGGAGGCAGCAGAAGGGAAUCUGCCGCAAUAGGCGAAAGCCUGACGGAGCAGCGCCGCGUGAGUGAUGAAGGUCUUCGGAUCGUAAAACUCUGUUAUGAGGGAAGAACAUAUGUGUAAGUAACUGUGCACAUCUUGACGGUACCUAAUCAGAAAGCCACGGCUAACUACGUG